UUGAGGACUAUUAUAAAUUCCUAGAGAGAUUGGUGCUUUCCUAUAUGACAAGAAUUACUGGUCCUGAAACUUUUUAUAUAUCAGCAGGACUGCACUUAAAAGGGAAAAGGCACCACAAUAUUCAGGGUUGAUGAACCCAAGAUCAGCAAGAGAAAGUAACAAUUUUUAACAAGAUAAAUUGAGUUCGAAGAGGACAUUGUUGCAGAAUUGACAGAGACCUCACCCCAACCCAUUUCCAAAGGAGCCAAAAAUCUUGAGGGUGAAGAAAUUACACAUGGGGCUGACUUAGAUGAGCAGACUUUCCUGUGCCCUCUGAAAAGAAAAGAAAAAAACAGAAACAAAGACCACACUGUAUGUCCAAAAGAGAAGACAAAAGAAAAAAAAAGUUGCCGU